UGUCCUUUUGCUCUGCCUAAUAAACUGCAGUACCACACACUCUUUGAGUCCAUGAGUUCUAUUUGAGCUGUAAGACACACUGCAACACCGAGGCCCCUUCCCCGUUUGUUGUGUUUGGAGAGGCCAAGAACCUGAGUUCCAGAAAAUCCAAUUGUAUCUAAUUCGGUUACAUCCGUUGGUGAGCCAGCCAGGAGGUACUUCAAACUUCAGUAUGCAUGGCCUGGCCACAAUACCUUCUUCAGAGUGGAGAAUCCUGGACACCUGAGGGAAGUAUAAAUUAUAACACCCUUCUACAAUUAGACCUUUUCUGCAUGAGGGAAGAAUUGAGGCCAUGAAGCUACAAAUCAUCCUGCAAAUGGAAUCCAAAUGUCCAUGGCUCAUUUCUAUCAUGAACCACUGGAUCAACCUGCAAUCCCAGAAGACUCUGCUCUGGAAGAAACCUCAACUGCAGGGCCCCUUCUACACACACAGGAAGUAGUUAUAGCGGUCUUCGCCUGUAUCCCAACAGCACUGGACUUUCCUGUUCAGAGUAGAUACUGAGGGACUGUGUUAGAGGAACCUCCAGGGUCGACUAGGGGCUUUAUUCCCAGUGCAGAAAUUUUCCUGCCUCUGACUCCUGAAGGUGGAAGUUCAGUGACUCAGGUUUUAAAACAGUAACCAAUCUGGUAAAAGAUUCAAAGAAAGUUUGUAGAAACCCUCUUAUUGGAUGAGAACAAGAAUGCGGAGGGAAUAAGUCAGGGGUGUAAGCUCCAGUCACUGAAGCCUGCAGCAGCACCCUUUCUGGGUCCCCUUCCAUGGUGUGGGAGUUGUCCUUUUGCUCUGCCUGAUAAACCACACUACCACACACUCUUUGGGUCCAUGAGUUCUAUUUGAGCUGUAAUACUCACUGCAAAACCAAAGCCCCUGUUCCCAUUUGUCUGGGUUGGAGAAGCCAAGAACCUGAGUUCCAGAAAAUCUGGUUGUAUCUAAUCCAGUUACACUCAGGACAUGUGCCUAGAAUGGCAAAAGCUUCCAGGAGCAAGUCAAGUCAUGCUUAAAGUUAUGACAAGGCAAUUCUAAUAUGAAACUCUGUUGUAAAUACCAACACGAUUAUUUCACUGUAAAGUGUAAGAAGCAUCUCUUAUUUUGGGUGGGGAAUAUUGGGAAGGGGAAAUAAUUAGGGAAGUAGAGAAGCACUGAGUGUUUGUAUUUCUUUUCUACCCAUCACAGUGCCUGUUAAACUGCUAAGCAAAUAAUAGAAAAAUACAAGAAGUAUGUAAUGUUUCUUUCUGAUUUUUGUGUGAGAAGCUGUGAGAUGACAAAAAGAAUCAUCUGUGGCCUUUGGUAGAAAAUCUAAAAUUUCUUUUAUUACUUUAUAAUGAAGCUCUAUUCUAUCAUUUCACAUAGCAAUGUGCUAGGCAAUAGUAAAACAGACUUCUCCAUAUGUAUUAUUUCUGGUUUCAUGACUAAGUGUCACUUAAUCAUUUUCCUGAUUGAAUGUAAAUAUGUGCAAAUUAGACAGUGCAAAUUUUCAUCACAGUUAAACUUUUAGCCUUUUUUCUUGGAAAUAACCUUAACAAUUACAUUUUUAAUAUUCAAUGGUCCUUGUUACCUUAG